rnacentral:tRNA from 1 species
UGGCUUAGUGGUAAAGAAUCUGCCUGCCAAGCAGGAGAUGCGGGUUCAACUCCUGG